rfam:Prevotella sp. CAG:604 genomic scaffold, scf214
GCAGCGCUCCGGUCUGUCGCUGGCAUUCCUUGAUGGGAAUGCGGGAGGAAAGUCCGGGCAGCAUAGGGCAUCCCACUUCCGAAAAUAGAAGCUAUUGGUGACAGUAGGUGUCGGCAGAAGAAAAUAACCGCUUUUACUAUCUUGCUCUUUGAGUGGGAUGGUGAGAGUAAGGGUGAGAAGGUGGUGUAAGAGACUACCAGCUGGCGGGUGAUCGUCAGGCUGUGCCAUCUGGGAGCUGUAAGCUCAUGUAAACCGCAGUUUGAGGGCGGCUCGUCUGAAGUCUUCGGACUACUGUGGAGGGUAGAGUGCUUGAACCUAAGGGUGACUUUAGGGCUAGAUAAAUGGCAGACUCUGUUCUUACUUCUGGUAGGAUACAGACAGAACUCGGCUUAUAGGGGCACUGCUUUC